CGCUCAGGCAUUUUUCAACUACACGAUGUGGCAAUGGUUCAGAGGUUGACCACAGCAAUCCGAUUUAGGAGCUAGGCAUUAUAAUCAUAAAUGCAGAUUUAUGCCCAGUGAACUACAGACUAUCUUUACUAUCUAAGAGCCUGAACACACUCAGAUAAAAUGUGGCUUUAUCUCAAGAUGGUGGGUGAAUAUAUGAAGUACCUCUUCUUCUUCUCAAAAUAUUAUUGAAUGUGGAGGGAAUGUAAAUAAGUAUAAAUAAGAAUAACUGCAUUGAAAAAAAAGGCAAACAGGAUAGAUUCCAUCACUGAACCAUCAAAUGAUUCCAUUUGAACCAUCAAUGAACUUCUGGAAGAUGCUAUGCAGACAGAAUCAGAUUGAAGGCGAAAUCCAUGAGACCAAGAAGUCCCAAAACACAACCCAGUGGAAAGAGGAAAUGACACCGUUCUCCUCCCUUAUGAAAGGGAGGUGAUGUGGAGUAAACACCAGCCCCAACAUAUGAUGACACAAUCUAAAUCUUCAAAAUAUUAACUUGAUUUCCAGAAGGGGAAGCAGAUGUAUUUUGUUUUCUCCUCAGUCCUUCUGUGAUUCUACAAGUUGAGCAAUAUCUA
rnacentral:lncRNA from 10 species